GAUCUAAAGAAAAAGUAACGAAAUUAAUACGGAUACAGUUAAGAUGGAUAUAUUACUUAAAGAUAAACCUUUUAUUUAUCCUUUGUUUUCACCACACUAAAGUCGUUAGAAAGGCAAAAGCUUUAUGUUCUUGAGGUAAACAGAACCGAAACAAGGAAUCAUUAUGAAAAUAAAUUGCAGUCUGAUAAACGAAUCAUGUAUGAUACCCACUCGAUCUUAUCGGACAUGGCAUGCCUUGCUGUAGACGAAACUUUGGACUGGCUUUAUGACACUUUAUGGGUAAGCUAUCCUCGGAACACUUUUCUUUCAUCAUUCUUCAUUGAAAGCAUGAGUCAUGUUAUCGGGGAAACUACCUAAUCUCAUUAGUUUUGGUACUAAGCAUGCUAAACUAUGUACUAUCUCAAUCUUAUCAAUUUCCUCCAUGCUGUUGAACUUUGCAUAUUGAUUGAUUUUAAGUUGCCACACACUUUUCAAACAUUUAAACUCUAAUCUAACCUAAUCUUUGGCUAGAUUAAAUCCAGAACUUCGGGGAGGGCACCCGCCGAGUGCAUGGUUUAUAUAAGCUUUGAGCACAAAGUACACUGUAAAAAGUCUGUCUAAAUUAAUAAAAAGUUAUAAAUGUACUUAAGAAAUCUUUUUGUAUAAUACAUUUUAUAAUCGAGUUUUCACAAAAAUGGUAAAUGAAGAAGUCUAGUGUUUAUAAGAAUCGCACCCAGCUGAUAAGAUAGUUUGAUGGAUUUAGAUAUUAUCAGAUUAGAUACUCCUUGCAUAUUAAGAAGUAAAACUAAAACUAAUCCCUGGGGAGCUAUCACAUAGAUACCACCAACUCACUUUCAUCAUGGCUGAUCACAGUCCAGAGCCAGACGCCUCCCAGGACCGUGGUGGCCGUGAUGGUGGCCACCUGCCAGGGCUCCUUGGCGCCGAAGGCCCGGUUGAUG